rnacentral:rRNA from 1 species
AUCAACGCUGGCGGCGCGCUUAACACAUGCAAGUCGAACGAGAAAGGGAGCAAUCCCGAGUAAAGUGGCGCACUGGUGAGUAACACGUGGAUAUCUACCUUCUGGUGGGGAAUAACCUGGGGAAACCUGGGCUAAUACCGCAUAAGCUUUAGCGAGGAAAGCCUGUAAAGGCGCCGGGAGAGGAGUCCGCGGUCGAUUAGCUAGUUGGCAGGGUAAAGGCCUACCAAGGCAAAGAUCGAUAGCCGGCCUGAGAGGGCACACGGCCACACUGGCACUGAAACACGGGCCAGACUCCUACGGGAGGCAGCAGUGGGGAAUCUUGCACAAUGGGGGAAACCCUGAUGCAGCGACGCCGCGUGAGCGAUGAAGCCCUUCGGGGUGUAAAGCUCUUUCGGCAGGAACGAUAAUGACGGUACCUGCAGAAGAAGCUGCGGCUAACUACGUGCCAGCAGCCGCGGUAAUU